UACGUAGGGUGCGAGCGUUAAUCGGAAUUACUGGGCGUAAAGUGUGCGCAGGUGGCUUCGCAAGUCGAGUGUGAAAUCCCCGGGCUUAACCUGGGAAUUGCGCUCGAAACUACGGAGCUGGAGUAUGGCAGAGGGAGGUGGAAUUCCACGUGUAGCGGUGAAAUGCGUAGAGAUGUGGAGGAACACCAAUGGCGAAGGCAGCCUCCUGGGCCAAUACUGACACUCAUGCACGAAAGCGUGGGAGCAAACAGG
rnacentral:rRNA from 1 species